rnacentral:rRNA from 1 species
AAAGGAAUAGACGGGGGCCCGCACAAGCGGUGGAGCAUGUGGUUUAAUUCGACGCAACGCGAAGAACCUUACCCAGGCUUGAACUGCGAGUGACCACUUCCGAAAGGAAGCUUCCGCAAGGACACUCGUAGAGGUGCUGCAUGGCUGUCGUCAGCUCGUGUCGUGAGAUGUUGGGUUAAGUCCCGCAACGAGCGCAACCCUUGUCUUCUGUUGCCAUCAGGUUAUGCUGGGCACUCUGAAGAGACUGCCGGUGAUAAACCGGAGGAAGGUGGGGAUGACGUCAAGUCAGCAUGGCCUUUAUGUCUGGGGCUACACACGUGCUACAAUGGCAGAUACAAACCGUCGCGAUACCGCGAGGUGGAGCUAAUCGGAGAAAGUCUGUCUCAGUUCGGAUAGCAGGCUGCAACUCGCCUGCUUGAAGUUGGAAUCGCUAGUAAUCGCGGAUCAGCACGCCGCGGUGAAUACGUUCCCGGGCCUUGUACACACCGCCCGU